GGGGAUGUAAAGGUUUCGACGGGGGUUUUGACCCAUGGUAAGCGAGUAGCGGAGUGGAACCGCUAUAAAAUCCACAACCUUAAAAAUAACUGACAAAAAUAAGACAGUUGCAUUAGCUGCCUGAUUUAGGCGGCUUGUCCUGACAGAGAGCACCGCGGCUCUGCCAAGGGCAUCGAUUCAGCGGUAACUGUGAACCCGGGAGCGUCUCGGCCCGAGUCACACAUCAGAGACUACCGAGCGUAUGAGCCUGUUAUUGGGCGCGUGCGUAAGGGAUUUUUAAUCCAAUAACUACACUCGUAGAAAGCCAUGGCAAGGAGCUUUCGGACGGGAGUUCGACUCUCCCCAUCUCCACCA
rnacentral:tmRNA from 1 species